rnacentral:lncRNA from 1 species
GAGCCUUAGAAAAUAGUGGAAUUUCAUUUCCAGGUCUUUUAACUACAGACGUCUUUUCAUUCAUUUAUUCAUGUAUUAAUUUGACGCAUAUUGAUUAUGCCUCUGCAUGGGCACUGACCAGGGGUGGGGAUAACAGAGUGCCCUGUGUGCCUGAUCUUCAUGGCCCUUUCCUGAAAUUCCUGUCUAUAGCCCUCCCUCAGCACUAAGUCGCUUUAGUUUAAAAAGUAGAAAAUACCAUCAUGUUGAAAAACCCAUCAAUACAUAAAUGUGAGUUAAAAUAUCAUUAAGGCAUGUGUUGUUUUUUUUUAAAUUUUAUUUUUUUUCUUCUUCUCCCCAAAGCCCCCCAGUACAUAGUUGUAUAUUUUAGUUGUGGGUCCUUCUAGUUGUGGCACGUGGGACACCGCCUCAGCGUGGCUUAAUGAGUGGUGCUAGGUCCGUGCCCAGGAUCCGAACUGGUAAAACCCUGGGCCACUGGAGGAGCAGAGCGCACAAACCUAACCACUCGGCCCUGAGGCGGCCCCAAGGUGUUCUGAAUUCCCAGCAGCACCCUGAAGGCACAGGCUCGCAUCAGACUUCUGGCUGCAGGCUUCAUCUUAUGCCUGAGAUUCUCAUGAUCGCUUCUCUGACAAGUCAACUGCUCCUCAUCCUUGCACACUCCCUUAAAAAGGCGCUCUCCAUUUGUAUUACAAUUCAAUGGUGUGACUCCAAACCUACUCUUUGCCUCAAAGGCCAGGCUCUCCUCUGAGCUGCCCGAUCAAUGACUCUUCCUCAUCAGAUUUCAUCCAUUGCCCUUCUGGAAAUGGCUUUCUCUUCUGAGGAAGAUCUGGUGCUCGCUCUUCUGGAUACCACAAUGUAUACACCUGUUCUAUACACCAGUAGUUGGCUCCUCAGAGGCAGGGACCAGAGAAUGUGUACUCUCUCACCACAGACUCCUUUUAGGAGUACCUGAACAGUGCCUCAGAGACUAAUUCAGGUCAGUUUCCCCUGUUGGACCAGAAACUCCUUGAGGACGUAGCCAUGUCUUAUUCAUCUCUGUAUCCCACCGCCUAGGACAAUAGGCAGCUCAAUAAAUGCUUAAUAAACCUUUCAAACAAAUGGAAUAUUAAAAUAUUCAAAUAUUAGAUUUUUCAAUUCACUUACAACAUGGAUCACUAAAACUGCAUUUAGCACAUGUUUACAUUUUCAUCCAAAUGUCUAUAGUUUUUAAUAAAGUCCCAUCUUCUGAAUAAAUAAAACUCCAUUUUAAGAUAUUACCACUCCAUGAUCUGUGAGCAGAUUCCUUCAAUCCCAGGAGUGCUCUUUGCUAAAUGCAUGGUUUUGCAUAUAUUAGUUAAUUUCCUCUAAUACUAGGAGGAAGUUGGGAAGAAAUUCAUAUAUAAUGUGCUAUAAUCUUUUUCUCACAUAAGUAUGGAGAGUGUAACUACCCCACCAGGAGGAAGUUUGAUGUAAAUUUAUCACACUAGGUUUGGGGAGAAGCAGUUCUCUCCUGAUUAUUUCUGCACUCUUCAUUCUGGCCAGACGGCAGUUCCCCCAAUGUGGGAAAGCACAGGCAAAUGAGGCAGAAGACAGGAGUUUGUGUUCUUGGGCUGCUGUUUACAGGUUUUGUGACCUUGCACAAGCAAUUUAAAUGCCCUGAGUCUCAGUUCCUUUAUUUGGUUAUUUCAUAGGGAAUUGGGCCAGGUCAAAGGGCAUCAUGUAUAUGAAAGUGCUUUGUGUCCCACAACCUGCAGGACAGAACUCAGUGAAAAAGCAGCAUGAGUGGAAAACACAUGGGUUUGGAAGACAACAGAUCAGUUUCAAAUCUUGGUUUUGCCACUUUUGUGUGACUUUGGGCACAAUACUUAACUUCCUGGACAACUACUUUCCUCAUUUG